AGCAGCCGCGGUAAUUCCAGCUCCAAUAGCGUAUAUUAAAGUUGUUGCAGUUAAAAAGCUCGUAGUUGAAUUUCGGGGUCUGUCCGUCGGUCGGGCUUCACGGUCCGUACUGGUGUGAUGGGUUCCUACCUUCUGAAUAACCGGCAUGCCAUUCAGUUGGUGCGCCGGGGAAGCAGAGCUAUUACCUUGAAAAAAUUAGAGUGCUUAAAGCAGGCCAGUGCUUGAAUAGAUUAGCAUGGAAUAAUAAAAUAGGACGGCAUGGUUCUAUUUUGUUGGUUUCUAGGAUCACCGUAAUGAUUAAUAGGGAUAGUUGGGGGACAUUAGUAUUCAAUUGUCAGAGGUGAAAUUCUUGGAUUUAUUGAAGACUAACUUCUGCGAAAGCAUUUGCCAAGGAUGUUUUCAUUAAUCAAGAACGAAAGUUAGGGGAUCGAAGACGAUCAGAUACCGUCGUAGUCUUAACCAUAAACUAUGCCGACUAGGGGAUCGGACGAUGUUAAUUUUUU
rnacentral:misc_RNA from 1 species